rnacentral:lncRNA from 1 species
GUCCGGCCCUUGGGGCAGAGCGGGGUGAAAGCCUGCGCGUGGCCUGCGUGCACGGCCCUUCCCACUGAGGUCCUCUCGGGCCUCGCACCGCCCCCCACCCCGCCCCCAACCCCCGGCGCUCGCUCCGAAGGGCCUCGGAGGUGGCCGCGUCUGCGCAAGCUGGGGACGGCCUCGGGAGGCGGGGCUGGGCCUAACCCUGUGCGCGUUCGGAGACUGCGGCGCGCAGACAGGUCCUGGGCCCGCCCCGGCCCCUUGCGGGGCGGGGCGUGUCCCUCCGAGUGCCCCCAGCUAGGGACUGUGCAGGCCGGGGCUAGGCGGGGGCAGCGGGGAAGCCGGGCUGAUGGGGCCUGCGCCUGCCCCGUGAGGCUCUCACCGAAUCCCUGCUGUCUCCGGGCAGCUGAUGGGCGCCGGCCCCGCGUAGCGGGCGUGGCUGUGGCCGUGUCUCCGGGUGGUCUGAGCCCACUGCGCGUGUGGAUCCGCGUGGGAGCUGGGUUCCAGAGCCUCGUCCUGAGGCGGAGCCGAGCGAGGGAGGAGGCUGGACUCGGCGGGGGAAGAGCACGGCGCCGGGCGCACCCGUGUUUGCCGGCCCUGCCCUGGGCCCUGCAGGUCCGCUGGCCCCGCCGCGCCUACUGGGGAUGCCCAGUGUGCCCCAGGCAGCCCCAGCCUGCGUCCCGCUCCCUGAGCCCUCGGGAGAGAUUUGGACCUAGUGAAAGGACGUCGGUCCUUAGCCCCAGCUAUGGACUCCACAGCAUCAGCUUCCCCUUCUCAGAAUCCUGCUCUUCCUCCAGAGAGAUUCCCAGGAGAAAAGGGAACAACCAGUUCAUUCCUGAAAGCUAGGCCUCAGGUGAGUUGUGUUGUCAGUUUUUCCUCAAAUGCCUGAACCACGGUUAGCUUUGCCUACUUUUCACCAAAAAGUAGCCUUUUUGUUCGCUAAGGGAACUGACCCACUGCUGCCUCUGCUGGAGGCUCAGCCCAUCCAAGUGAAUGAUGGCUUCCUGCCCU